AUGCUUCAGCAGCACAUAUACUAAAAUUGGAAUAAUACAGAGAAGAUUAGCAUGAUUCCUGUGCAAGGAUGACACACAAAUUCAUGAAGCAUACCAUAUUUUU